rnacentral:rRNA from 1 species
UGCCAGCAGCCGCGGUAAUACGAAGGGACCUAGCGUAGUUCGGAUUUACUGGGCUUAAAGAGUUCGUAGGUGGUUGAAAAAGUUAGUGGUGAAAUCCCAGAGCUUAACUCUGGAACUGCCUUUAAAACUGUUAGUCUUGAGAUCGAGAGAGGUGAGUGGAAUUCCAAGUGUAGAGGUGAAAUUCGUAGAUAUUUGGAGGAACACCAGUGGCGAAGGCGGCUCACUGGCUCGAUACUGACGCUGAGGUGCGAAAGUGUGGGGAGCAAACAGGAUUAGAUA